rnacentral:misc_RNA from 1 species
UGUUCCCAUCGAGAUGAGUGAUGCUGUGAAGCCAGAUGCUAAGGUGGAAACGCCAGUUCAUGUGAUGCAAAGUAACUGGUCUGCUCAAAAGAGACUAAAGAAAGUUCAAUUGGAAACCCUUGAACAAGUUUAUAGACGAUCGAAGCGGCCCACUAAUGCCAUGAUUAGCAGCAUUGUGCAUGUAACAAAUCUGCCUCGGAGAAGAGUUCUAAAAUGGUUUGAAGAAAG